UCUGGAAUCGCCCAUGGUACUGGAUAUCCUAACCAGUGGUUUCUCUCCCAUCCUAGACUCUGACUCCCUGACACCAGGAUCUGUAUCAUCUUUAUCUCUGUGACUGGGCUCAGGGCCUGGUAGCUGGUGGAUUUUCAGAACUGUGUUGGCUGUGAACUCUCCCUUCAGUGAUGUAGCUGUCCUGGGCUACUUGUCUCUGCUCAGGAUAAUCUGCAAGCUGUCGUCAGUGCUGAGCAAGAGCACAGUUGAACGCCUGCUGUUCCCUCGAUUCUGUGAACUGUGUAGCUACGGGAAGGUCUUUCAAGUUCAGAAGGUGCUCCAGGAUGCCUUCCAGUCUGGGCCCCUUCAUCACCAACUUUCCAACCCCUCCAGGGCUGGCCUUUAUAUUCAGAAAGAUGGUACCCUGAAAAUCUGACCACUGGCUCCCGGUGUGGACUCGGAC
rnacentral:lncRNA from 1 species